ensembl:snoRNA small nucleolar RNA SNORA28
AAGCAAUGCUCUGUGGCAGAUGAUCAAAACUGUCUGACAUAAUUUGAGCUUGCUAAAGCAACAAAGUCUAACCUAUUCCAGUGUUCUCUCCUCUACGAGACUAUCCAUUAUAUAGACUUAGUAUAA